UAGUAUUAUUAGUAAAAGGGUGCUGAUGCAGCUUAAUAGGGAAUUCGGUGAGAAGCCGAAGCUGUCCCCGCAACUGUAAGUGCAGACGACCGCGGAUAAAGCUACUGUUCGCAGAACGGGAAGGAGCGCGGAAGAGAGAAGCAUAAGCCAGGAGACCUGCCCUUUUACAGCGUUUAUU
rnacentral:ncRNA from 2 species